GAUAUACUCCCUCCGUCCCAAAAUUCUUGUCUUAAAUUUGUCUAGAUACAGAUGUAUCUAAUACUAAAAUGUGACUUGAUACAUCCGUAUUUAGACAAAUCUAAGACAAGAACUUUGGGAAGGAGGGAAUAUUUU
rnacentral:pre_miRNA from 1 species